UGCUGUUUCACUCUUACGCAUAGUAAAGCUGCUACAGUUGUCCUCCUCUUCCGUGCCUAUAUUCACACUUAAUGUCAUCAUAGAUUUUCGAUACAAUGUGUUAGAAAGAGAUGCAGCAAACCAGUCCAUGAGAUCUUGUCGUCAGGAAGCGCGGAAGGGCGCAAGAGUGGUGUACAGUUUAGCAGCUGCAUUUCGACGUUUAUAAAUUUCCACAUCCUUUCUUCAUAAAUGAUGGAGCAUGGAUUAUUCUUCAAUAUUAUAACAAACUAAAUAUUUCUUUAAUAUAUCUUAGCCUUUAUUGAAUAUAGUACAUCGUACUUAAACACCAACACAUACGCACAUUCACACAAACAUGCACAUAUACAAACACGUACGAGUACACUUAUUUACACAAUACACCCACACAAAGACAACAUGAAACACACGUAGAACUCACAACGGUUUAGCUUGAAUUAUAUACAUAAUAAAUAAUUAAAACUGUAAGUUAAUCAUAAUAAAUAUAGAUUCCACAAUC